AUUGCAUUGCAAUUCAUUACAUAUAUAAACAACUUAUUUAUGUCUUGAAAGGUUUGUGAUUCUAAUUCAGAGAUUCCAAGUUCAAAUUUCAUUAGGAAGAAUUUUAAAGAAUGGAAAGGAUUAGCUCAAAUCUUUAGGCCUAAGGCUCAGUGGGCCUCGAAAAGGUUCACAAAAAUGAAAAUUCUCACUUAGCAUGUUGGGAUCUAUGACCAAAGUGCUGGGGUGAAAAGAGAAUAGCAGGAAAUUUCAUCCCACUUCUAUGAUCAAAUUAGCCUACAACCAGUUGAGUACAGAACAGAAGAUUCUCCAUAUUUUUUUAUUGGCUUAGUCUUAUCUUAUAAUUUGUUAAUGUUCCUCUCUUUUCAAUUCAUUACUGAUACUUCAGUAAUUGGGACUUAAAAUACACAAAAAAUGUCGUAUAAUUAAAGAAAAUAACAGGAUGCCUGAAAUAUCUGUUUAGUCAAACAAUAUACAAAAGGUAAAUUAAUCAUUGUAAACUUGGAAACAUUUUCAAUCAGCUGUUCAGGUUAUUGUUAUGUGUAAUUUUUUUUUUUAAAUCACUGCACCUCGUGCACUGUGGGAUGCCCUUUAUUGGCCCUACCCAGGUGCUAGUCUAACAACUGAAUCAAGGAAUGAUUAGUGGGAUUAGCAUCUUUAUGUGUACAUUAAUAGGAGCAUAUAUCACCAUAAAACUUGACCUUAUGAAGGUUCAAUUCAUGCUCCAUUAGUUAAAUAAAUCUCAUAAGCUUCUUCAAUUGUAGAAAUGUAUGCCAUAAGAACCAAAUAGAAUACAUAGCAAGUAGCAUGACAUGACAUAUGAAAUGCCAUGCAAGAAAAUAUUAAUUGAACAAAGUCAUGAUAUGAAAAUAAGGGUCCAUUGUAUUCUCACAUAAUGAGCAUG
rnacentral:misc_RNA from 1 species